UAAGCGGAGGNAAAGAAACUAACAAGGAUUCCCCUAGUAACUGCGAGUGAAGUGGGAAAAGCUCAAAUUUGGAAUCUGGUGGUCUUUGGCCAUCCGAGUUGUAAUUUAGAGAAGCAUCUUCCGCGCUGGACCGUGCACAAGUCUCCUAGAAUGGAGCGUCAUAGAGGGUGAGAAUCCCGUCUUUGGUAUGGAAUCCCAGGGCUUCUGUGAUGCGCUCUCGACGAGUCGAGUUGUUUGGGAAUGCAGCUCAAAAUGGGUAGUGAACUCCAUCUAAAGCUAAAUAUUGGCGAGAGACCGAUAGCGAACAAGUACCGUGAGGGAAAGAUGAAAAGCACUUUGGAAAGAGAGUGAAACAGUACGUGAAAUUGUUGAAAGGGAAACGCUUGAAGUCAGUCGCGUCGACCAAGACUCAGCCUUGCCUCGGCUUGGUGUACUUCUCGGCUUGACGGGUCAGCAUCGAUUUCAAUCCUCGGAUAAUGGCAAGGGAAAGGUAGCACCUUUUUAGGUGUGUUAUAGUCCUCUGUCGCAUGCGAGGGUCGGGAUCGAGGAACUCAGCACGCACCUCAGGGUGUCGGGGCCUUGGCCCACGUUUACGUGCUUAGGAUGCUGGCGUAAUGGCUUUAAACGACC
rnacentral:rRNA from 1 species